AGUGAACGCUGGCGGCAGGCCUAACACAUGCAAGUCGAGCGGCAGCGCGGGGGCAACCCUGGCGGCGAGCGGCGGACGGGUGAGGAAUGCGUCGGAAUCUGCCUCUUUGUGGGGGAUAACGUAGGGAAACUUACGCUAAUACCGCAUACGACCUACGGGUGAAAGUGGGGGACCUUCGGGCCUCACGCAGAGAGAUGAGCCGACGCCGGAUUAGCUAGUUGGCGGGGUAAAGGCCCACCAAGGCGGCGAUCCGUAGCUGGUCUGAGAGGAUGAUCAGCCACACUGGAACUGAGACACGGUCCAGACUCCUACGGGAGGCAGCAGUGGGGAAUAUUGGACAAUGGGCGCAAGUCUGAUCCAGCCAUGCCGCGUGUGUGAAGAAGGCCUUCGGGUUGUAAAGCACUUUUGUCCGGAAAGAAAAGCUUCCGAUUAAUACUCGGGAGUCAUGACGGUACCGGAAGAAUAAGCACCGGCUAACUUCGUGCCAGCCGCCGCGGUAACAC
rnacentral:rRNA from 1 species